UACAGAGGUCCCGAGCGUUGUUCGGAUUCAUUGGGCGUAAAGGGUGCGUAGGCGGCGCUGUAAGUGGGGUGUGAAAUCCCGGGGCUUAACCCCGGGACUGCAUUCCAUACUGCGGUGCUUGAGGACUGGAGAGGAGACUGGAAUUUACGGUGUAGCAGUGAAAUGCGUAGAGAUCGUAAGGAAGACCAGUGGCGAAGGCGGGUCUCUGGACAGUUCCUGACACUGAGGCACGAAGGCCAGGGGAGCAAACGGG
rnacentral:rRNA from 1 species